UUUCUCCAUUGUGAAGAAGUGGCCUUUUAACAUUUGGAGGCCAGGGAUGCUGGAGUCUCAAGUUUAACCUAGGGGAGGUAUAGUGGGUUUGGUUCUCUGUUUUCAAGACACUCAGGAUCUGUCUUCGGGUGGAAGAUCAUGCCCCCAAAACGCGCCCCACCCGCUAAAGAUGCCCCACUCGAUAAAGACGUGCCCCCCGCUAAAGACGCCCCGCCUGCUGGAGCCCCGCCUGCUGCAGACGCCCCACAGAAGCCACUAGAGGAAAGACAGACACCUGAAGAACUGGCAUUUUAUGCCCCGAAUUACAUGUGUUUGACCAUCCUGGCCGUAAUUGUUUUCCCUCCCCUUGGAUUAAUAGCUAUAUUCUUCAGUCACAAGACUCAGCAGGCCAACAAGAACAGCGAAUGGGAAGAUGCUUACAUCAACUCAAGCCGAACUGGUUGGCUGGAUGUAUUUGCCAUACUCAUUGGUUUAGGCCUCAUUUAUGCCUACACCCUACUUAUAUGAAGUCCAGGCCAAGUACUCCAUGAGUCCACCUCAAAUAGGACUUACCCACCAAGACCCUAACCAUCCAAAUCAGCCAUCAUGCAAGAAACCAACAGCUAACACGUCUUCUAGCCAGAAAACCUAUCAGCCAAGGAACUCAACAUCCAAGCAACCCACUAGCCCAGGGACAUCGUGCUACCUCAUCCUCUUGGCCACUGGAGCCAUCUUCAUCCACCUUGAGGGUCCUCACUUUCAUGCCCUAGAUGUGCUUAGCCCCAUGAUACUGGCCUGCUCUUUCAGAAAAAAAAAUAAAAUAAAAUAAAAAGGAAGGGAAUGUUCCAGCUU